AUUGAACGCUGGCGGCAUGCUUUACACAUGCAAGUCGAACGGUAACAGGCCGCAAGGUGCUGACGAGUGGCGAACGGGUGAGUAAUGCAUCGGAACGUGCCCAGUCGUGGGGGAUAACGCAGCGAAAGCUGUGCUAAUACCGCAUACGAUCUGUGGAUGAAAGCGGGGGACCGAAAGGCCUCGCGCGAUUGGAGGGGCCGAUGUCAGAUUAGGUAGUUGGGGGGGUAAAGGCUCACCAAGCCAACGAUCUGUAGCUGGUCUGAGAGGACGACCAGCCACACUGGGACUGAGACACGGCCCAGACUCCUGCGGGAGGCAGCAGUGGGGAAUUUUGGACAAUGGGCGCAAGCCUGAUCCAGCAAUGCCGCGUGCAGGAAGAAGGCCUUCGGGUUGUAAACUGCUUUUGUACGGAGCGAAAAGGCUCUCUCUAAUACAGGGGGCUCAUGACGGUACCGUAAGAAUAAGCACCGGCUAACUACGUGCCAGCCGCCGCAGUAAAAC
rnacentral:rRNA from 1 species